UACAGAGGGUGCGAGCGUUACUCGGAAUUACUGGGCGUAAAGCGCGCGUAGGCGGCUUUUCAAGUCGGUUGUGAAAUCCCCAGGCUCAACCUGGGAACUGCAUCCGAUACUGGAUGGCUUGAAUCCGGGAGAGGGAUGCAGAAUUCCAGGUGUAGCGGUGAAAUGCGUAGAUAUCUGGAGGAAUACCGGUGGCGAAGGCGGCAUCCUGGACCGGCAUUGACGCUGAGGAGCGAAAGCUAGGGGAGCAAACGGG
rnacentral:rRNA from 1 species